rnacentral:rRNA from 1 species
CGAACGCUGGCGGCGUGCUUAACACAUGCAAGUCGAGCGGAAAGGCCCUUCGGGGUACUCGAGCGGCGAACGGGUGAGUAACACGUGAGCAAUCUGCCCCUAGCUAUGGGAUAGCUCCGGGAAACCGGAAUUAAUACCUGAUAUGACCACGGCCGGCAUCGGCCAUGGUGGAAAGCUUUUGCGGCUAGGGAUGAGCUCGCGGCCUAUCAGCUUGUUGGUGGGGUAACGGCCUACCAAGGUGGUGACAGGUAGCCGGCCUGAGAGGGCGACCGGCCACACUGGGAUUGUCUCACGGCCCAUGAACCUACGGGAGGC